rnacentral:rRNA from 1 species
AGAAUCAACGCUGGCGGCGUGCCUAACACAUGCAAGUCGAACGAGAAAGUGGAGCAAUCCAUGAGUAAAGUGGCGACCGGGUGAGUAACACGUGACUAACCUACCUUCGGAGUGGGGGAUAACCUCGGGAAACCGAGGCUAAUACCGCAUAACAUCGCAAGAUCAAAGCAGCAAUGCGCUGGAAGAGGGGGUCGCGGCUGGAUUAGCUAGUUGGCGGGUAACGCCCACAAGGCGAAGAUCGGUA